rnacentral:rRNA from 1 species
UACGUAGGGUGCGAGCGUUAAUCGGAAUUACUGGGCGUAAAGCGUGCGCAGGCGGUAAUGUAAGACAGAUGUGAAAUCCCCGGGCUUAACCUGGGACCUGCAUUUGUGACUGCAUUGCUGGAGUGCGGCAGAGGGGGAUGGAAUUCCAAGUGUAGCGGUGAAAUGCGUAGAUAUCAAGAGGAACACCGAUGGCGAAGGCAGCUUCUUGGUCCAUACCUGACACUGAGACACGAAAGCGUGGGGAGCAAACAGG